GCUCUGGACAACAGAACUUGAACACCAUCACCUAUGAAAUGUUAAAAUACAUAUCAAAAUCACCAUGCAGACACCAGAGUCCUGAGACUGUCAGAGAAUUUCUCACAGCAAUGAAAAGCCACAAGUUGACCAACAGGCACACGGGUGGUACCAUCAGUGAACUAAAUGCACUUCUCCCACUCCUUCUCCAAGAGAACUCUGAAGACAAAACAAAUUCCAUGU